UCCUAAGAGGCAGGUUGACUGAGGGAAAUGGCUCCUUGUCACUCAGCUAACCUUCAAGGAAGAGGAGUGCCUGACUACACACUUUGCAAAUGUCCAGAUGCUGUUAGAGACACUUGACGGUGGAAUUUUGUGAUGCAAACUCACAGGUCUUGCAUUUGUGCACAGCUAUUUGAGAGUCAAGAGGGUGGUCCUUUCGACUGUCUCCAGCACAAAGUGCCGAGAGAGAGAGACAGAUGUGCUACUGCAGAACCCAUCGCUAAAGCUUUUGUUGCUGGACAAUCCGAUACACACAGAUACCUGCAGGAAAACAGGAAUCUGAAGGGGUGACAGGGUCCUUGGCGUUCUCAUUUACAACAGCAUUCCUGUAAGGGACUCUUGUUAAACCUAAAAGAAACAAAGAAACAAACAAGCCAUGCUGAAAAAAAUGAUAGUAGCUAUCAAACCAAGUACGAAGAGUUGGAGAGAGGAGUCCCCAAAUACAUGGUGAAAUGCAUCCUAUUGUAAUAUAACGAGAGAUGUACUAUCCUCGACACGAAUGAACAGAAAGCAAUGAGAGGUCCAUCCAGCUGGCAGAGUGGGUAAGGUUGUAACUGACAGCCAAUACUCACCUCCCCUCCUUCAGCCAGUUAUGGAUUUAUCUUUUAGACACAGAUCUAAAGAAGCUUCUCACUCAAGCAUUACGAUGAAACAAGAACUCAGAAGCCCAGGAGUCCCGCUGCAAAGGCUCACUCACAAGAAUGCCUGAUUUCUGGGAGAACUGACGACCAGGAUGGGCCAGGAGCAGCUGGGUGUGCCUGCUGUUUUAUGUGGAGGUGAGCAACUGCAUAGACAGCUCACCAGUCCAGAAGGACCCUCUUUAUACUGGACUGACGGUUUAACACUGGACAUCAAGUGUCAACACCAACAAACAUCCACACUUGAUAGAGAAAAGUCUGUGAAGUCCCCACCUACACAAAGAACAAUUGGCAAUGCUGAAGUCAUAUCGUGGUUUGAAUGUGAAAUGUGCCCUAUCAAUCGACUCAAGGGUGUCAACACUCAGUCCCCAGCUGCUGAUCCUGUUUGGGAAGCUUGUGGAAUCUUUAUCAGAUGGAGCUUCAGUGGAGGAAGUUGGUCACUGGGGAUGGAUGGUCUCAUUACUCUUUACUCUCUGCUCCUUCACUGCUGGUGCACUGCUACCAUCCGGCCUCCUGCCUGCCUUCUCUAACU
rnacentral:lncRNA from 1 species